rnacentral:misc_RNA from 1 species
UUUCCGUAGGUGAACCUGCGGAAGGAUCAUUAUCGUACAAAAUGUGGGGGGCAUGCGAGGGCUGUCUCUGACCGAAAAGUCGUGCACGCCCGAGUGUGUCCUCUUGCAUAACAAUCCAUCUCACCAUUUGUGCAUCCCCGCGUGGGCAUCCUUCGGAAUUAUCCCGAAGGGGGGCACGCGUUUUCAAACAUAUCCCCCAUAUAAAAGUGAAGAAUGACCACAUUAAUGCAAUCAAUACAACUUUCAACAACGGAUCUCUUGGCUCUC